rnacentral:rRNA from 1 species
AUUGAACGCUGGCGGCAGGCCUAAUACAUGCAAGUCGAGCGCUUGAAGGGAGCUUGCCUCUUCAUUCAGAGGCGCACGGGUGAGUAAUGCCUAUAAAUCUGCCUGCUAGUGGGGGAUAACGUCCGGUAACGAGGACUAAUAACGCAUCCGUAUUGCGGGAGAAAGUGGGGAACCUUCUGACAUCACGCUAUCAGCUGCUCCGAGAUCGACUUAGCUUGUUGGGGGGGUAAGGGCCUACAAGGGCGAAGAACCGUAACUGUACAUAGAGGAGGAUCAGUCACACGGGAACUGGGACACGGUCCGGACUCCUACGGGAGGAGGCGGUGGGGAAUAUUGGACAAGGGGCGAAGGCCUGAUGCAGCCAUGCGGCGGGGGUGAGGAAGGUCUUCGGAUUGUAAAGCACGUUAAGUUGGGAGGAAGGGCAGUAAGUUAAAACCUUGCUGUUUUGACGGUACCAAAAGAGAAAGCAGCGGCUAACUUCGUG